rnacentral:rRNA from 1 species
CAAAGGCUUGGUCCUGACUU